rnacentral:lncRNA from 1 species
AGUCCUGCGGCACAUCUCCAAUGGCUCCCACUGCCAAGGGCAUGCCCCAGCCGUGCAUCAAAGACCUCCCCCUGGAAUCAUACGCAGAUCUCCUGCCCUCCUCCAACUCUGCCCUGGCACACGCCGCCCCCCACCUGGUGGGCCCCCUCAUUCCUCGGAGGCAUCCUCUGCUCACCUCCGCCUCCCCGGCCAUUGGACCGUGCGGGCAGAACCCGUGGACUGGACCCACGGCCUCAGCCGAAACGCGUCCCGGGCGCGGAAACCCUCGGCCGCCGUGGAACCUUCCCGGGAAGCUCUCCCCGCGCGGGUGAAAUGCGUCCGAAGACAGGGAACCGCUUCCCGGAGCCGCUGGGAAGGAGGACGGUACGGAGGCCCGGGAGACCCACGGCGCCUGUCCGCGAGCGAUAAGUCUGAGGAAGAUGGAGCCACUCGCCGGUGGGGCACGGCGCGUGGAAGGCGCGGCAAAGGUCCCUGCCCUUCACCUCGCGCAGGGGAUCGCGAGGAAGUCACCCCGGCCCACGCAGAGCUGCCUGAGGCGCCGGGACAGCCUUCCCGCCGAGGACUGCGGACUGCCGGGCAACGCCGGAACUCCCGGAACUCCCGUGGCCCGCGCCUCCCCUCGCUCGGCGCCCCUCACGCCACGACCUCCAUUCCCGGCUCUCCUCGCGGCGCGGCUGGGUCGUUGCCAAGGCGAUAAGGGAGGGCGCCGCUAGCUCCUGAAGCGGGACGUGAACUACAUUUCCCAUAAGGAGCCUCGACGUGGGGCCGUUCAGACUUGGCCAAUGGCGGCCCAGGAACGGGAACGUUCGGGCGGGCCCUGCGUGGGGCGGGGCUUCCGGCGUCGGCUUUCGGCGCUGGCUUUGGGGCGGUUUGCGGCAGUGGGAUCAUUGGGCGGUGGGCGGUGUGGAGGAGUCUCCGCUGGUCCGCAGAAACGAACGAAGGCGCGAGAAUCGGGAAGUUCUGCCUCAGUGACCUGUACGCGUCCUAGCCGCAGUGAAUGUUGCUGAACCCCGGUGACCUCACAGUGGAGGGGCGGCCCCAUGGGGCCAUCGGACCGCGCCGCGCGGGGGCGUUCGCCAGGGCCUCCGCAGAAGCCCGCCUGUGCCCGCAACCGCCCCGAAAUUCUCUCCCUGGCACCGUGUCCGCUUUACGGAGCCCGGAGCAAGGCUCAGAAAAAUGUCCCAGCCAAAAACAUGGUACAUGCCUGUCAUCAGGCAAGUCUUCAAAGAGCGGCUGGGACCAGGGGCCGAGGGACCUCGUUUAGAGGCGGCUUAGGGGGAAGGUCAGCAGUUGUGUUUCAGUUGUGUUGGGUUUUCGGCGCCCCACAAUGCGGGCGACGUAUGGGCCACAGGUGUGGAUGCCAGGGACAGGUCGCCCUGCACAUGGCUGAGGCACGGUAGGCUUGUAGUCUACCCCAUAUCAGGCCAUGGUGAUCUCAGGUAUGGGGGCCUGGGAGAGGAGAGUGAGUACAUGGCUGAGUACGUCAGAGCACGGGGUCAGGGACACAUCAGGGGAGGACGCUGGCAGGAGAAUAACCGGGCUCCUGGGUGUCCUCCGCUGAAUUCAGACGCGUUCAUGUUAGAGCAGGUGGGCCUGCGUCCUCCCGGACGAACGGAGUUCUUAGGCAAGGUCCAGAGGAGCUUCUACCUGAAGUGGUGCUGGAGAACUUUGCACUCAGUGCUGGGUGAGACCACUGGCACCAUAACUCUCCCCAGCCUCAACUCUGGUUUUUUUCCUCUGUUCUUUCCAUGUUCCCCUUGGAAGUCGCUGUUGGUCGUGGCACUGAGGCCCAGAUCAUGCCACCUCCUCUAACAAGUGGCUGAGUGGACACCCCACACAUUCUACCCAAGGGCCGUGAGUGGCCAAGAUCGGGGCUCAGAAGUCUCUGAAUCUUCACAGCUGGUCACGUUCAGCUCGGUCACUUCCUGUAAGAUUCCAGGCACUGCAUGCACUGACAUGGGUGCGUGUGGGCCCACUGGGUCCUGCCUGGGAGCCUUCCCUGAAUGUUCAUUUUUUGCAGGUCUGUGUUUGUCUUGGAGUAAGGAUUAUUCUCGCUUGCUGGGGUCAUGGUGUUUUGGCCUCUCCUGGCCUGGACUCUCAAAAACUCAUCAUCCUUCAUAGGUCUGAAGGCUUCUACAUUCCCACCAGCAGGUGGACCAUAUGAACUCAAAACUAGUUGUGGCAGAGGGACCCUGAAGAGAUCUACCCCUGGUGAAUGCCCCCAGGAGUGGGCUGUUCUCACACCUGGUGCCCAGCCUGUGCCCUCGCAGGUCUUGGUGCCUCCACUCAGCUCAAUUCCAGUUUUCUGGCCAUGCCCCGCUGUGUCCCUUUCUCUCUCCUUAGUGCCUAGCUGUGCAAUGUUUGCCUCUCCUUAACAUGUCCUCAGCUGACCCCAUAUCCUCAGUCCUUGCAACCCUGUUCCUCAGUGACACCUGUGUAUUCUCUCCAGUGGAGACACAGGUGGGACACCCCCAAGCUCAUGGUACAUGCCUGUCAUCAGUACCCCUGGACUGUCAUGGUGGGUCAGUCUGCCCUAGGCUGGACUGACCAACCUGUUCAUUCCCCCACAGGAUUGCCCUUUACAGUUCAUGAGUUCCCCCAACUGGAGUGCAGACAAGAGCACUGAUUGAUGGACCAGGUAGACUUGAAACCAGGAAUAGCACAAAAGUUAUCAAAGAGGCUCAGCCAUGGAGAUUGCAAGCUGGGGAUGGAAGUAUCCCUGGAAUUGAGCUGUUCUCACACCUGGUACCUGAGUUAUACCCCUGGUGUCUGGGUACCAAGGUCACUAGCCUUGCCACUUUUCUAUGUUCCUGAUCCCCUACUAAACAGUCCACCUUUUCGCCUACUUCCCCUGACUCCUGUACCCUGUCCCCUCUUUCUGCCUAGUUUGAAGACACUGGUCAUCCCAUAACAUGUCCUGGGCUAAUACAUAUCCUCAAAUCGUUCUUGAAAAUCUGUUCCUCUUCCCUCCUCCCCCUCCCCCUCCCCCCCCCCCCGCUCUUUCCACGGUCUCCCUCUGAUGCCGAGCCGAAGCUGGACGGUACUGCUGCCAUCUCGGCUCACUGCAACCUCCCUGCCUGAUUCUCUUGCCUCAGCCUGCCGAGUGCCUGCGAUUGCAGGCGCGUGCCGCCACGCCUGACUGGUUUUCGUAUUUUUUUUGGUGGAGACGGGGUUUCGCUGUGUUGGCCGGGCUGGUCUCCAGCUCCUAACCACGAGUGAUCCGCCAGCCUCGGCCUCCCGAGGUGCCGGGAUUGCAGACGGAGUCUCGUUCAUUCAGUGCUCAAUGGUGUCCAGGCUGGAGUGCAGUGGCGUGAUCUCGGCUCGCUACAACCUCCACCUCCCAGCAACCCGCCUUGGCCUCCCAAAGUGCCGAGAUUGCAGCCUCUGCCCGGCGGCCACCCCGUCUGGGAAGUGAGGAGCGUCUCCGCCUGGCCGCCCAUCAUCUGGGAUGUGAGGAGCCCCUCUGCCUGGCUGCCCAGUCUGGAAAGUGAGGAGCGUCUCUGCCCGGCCGCCAUCCCAUCUAGGAAGUGAGGAGCGCCUCUUCCCGGCCGCCAUCACAUCUGGGAAGUGAGGAGCGUCUCUGCCCGGCCGCCCAUCGUCUGAGAUGUGGGGAGCAUCUCUGCCCUGCCGCCCCGUCCGGGAUGUGAGGAGCGUCUCUGCCCGGCCGCCCCGUCUGAGAAGUGAGGAGACCCUCUGCCUGGCAACUGCCCCGUCUGAGAAGUGAGGAGCCCCUCCGCCCGGCAGCCGCCCCGUCUGAGAAGUGAGGAGCCCCUCCGCCCAGCAGCCACCCCGUCUGGGAAGUGAGGAGCAUCUCCGCCCGGCAGCCGCCCCGUCUGAGAAGUGAGGAGCCUCUCCGCCCAGCAGCCACCUCGUCCGGGAGGGAGGUGGGG